AUCUCUUACAUCACCAGUGCUGGUGUUAAUACCGUGUGUAUCUUUAUCAGUGUAUUUUUAAUGCAGAACCACUGUUCACAAAUUGCCCUUUUCUAUCAGUUUUUGUCUCACGCAUCUUCAAAAUCAGUCAAGAAAACAUGUUAAUAGUGAAACUGUUAAUAAAUCAGUGAUUUGCUAGACAACUUUUCUGAAAAGUGUUUAAAGUGAUGUCCAGGAAAAUACAGUGGUGCAUGUAUUGAAUUUACACCAAAUGCUUUUUCAGUAGAGUAGAAGUAGCAACGCUCCAGGGGGAAGCCUCUGUAUCCUGGCAACAGUGGUCUAGAGAAACCAGUGCAGAAGGGCAGAAAGUGACUUAAUGGAGACAGCACAAGCGCAACAAUAGGCAGCUACACAGUCUUACAAAACUCUACUUUGUUUGCAUCAAGUCAAAGACAGACAGAGAGAAAAUGUCGAGAAUGUGGACGUUUAGCUUAGGGGAUUUUCAGAAAUCAGAUUAACAGUGAUCCAGUACAUUUGUCUGGUAUUUCCACUUCCAUGUGCUGACUUUGGUUACCUUUCCAGGCAGAGGUCCCUGGCUGCAGAAUGUUCGGGAAACCUCUGGGCUAUCGGGUAUAUUUUUGUUUGUUCUAUGGUAGAAAUUUUCAGUUUAAUAGAAGAUAACAGAAGCCACAAUGAACACAAGGUUUCAUUUUUCUGCUUUAAAAAUAAUUAAAUACAUAAACAACAUCAGCAACAGUAGAAAAAAAAAAUCAUUACUUUGGAUCAUCUCACAAAUAUUGGCACCCCAACCCCUCUCCCCAUCCUCUGCCAUUUUUUUUAAUGACCAUUAAUAGUCACCUUAACUAAAUGAAAAAGACAUAAAAAAAGUCCUAGAAGUCAAGAAGACUAACUUGAAAUACAGUCUCCAUUACAUGGCACAAGCAUUCGUCUCUCUUUCCACUCCACUCUUAUCUUCCAGCAUGUCCUUGCCCCCGAUGGCUGCCUGCCUAAUGAGGAUUGGUGCUGUUUUAAACAUGAAAUUGGAAUCCCAGCUGAGAGCAAUCGAUAUGCUUCCAUUAUCUCUCCAUGUAAUGAUGCAGGCACUCUUCCUCAAUCCUCCCCUACACACACACAAACACACACACACACACACCUCUUGUCUCAGCACAUUUUCUGAUUCCUGAUAUUAGCAGCAAAGGAGUUUAUGAAGUAUUGCUUCCCAGGGGUUUCUCAGCAUGUUCACCUUACACUUCAGGUAGGGAAUUGAGACACUGUUUCAUGCACCUCUGCUCCUGAUCAGGUGAAAAAUAUUGCCAUGUACACUGACCAGGCAUAACAUUAUGGCCACCUGCCUAAUAUUGUGUUGGUCCCCCUUUUGCUGCCAAAACAGCCCUGACCCAUCAUGCACUGUGUAUUCUGACACCUUUCUAUCAGAACCAGCAUUAACUUCCUCAGCAGUUUCAGCAACAGUAGCUCGUCUGUUGGAUCGGAUCACACGGGCCAGCCUUCACUCUCAUCAAUGAGCCUUGACCACCCAUGACCCUGUCGCCAGUUCACCACUGUCCCUUCCUUGGACCACUUUUGAUAGAUACUGACCACUGCAGACCGGGAACACCCCACAAGAGCUGCAGUUUUGGAGAUGUCCUGAUCCAGUGGUCUAGCCAUCACAAUUUGGCCCUUCAUCAAACUCGCUCAAAUCCUUACGUCUGUCCAUUUUUCCUGCUUCUAACACAUCAACUUUGAGGAGAAAAUGUUCACUUGCUGCCUAAUAUAUCCCACCCACUAACAGGUGCCAUGAUGAGGAGAUGAGUUAUUCACCUUACCUGGCAGUGCUUAUAAUGUUAUGUCUGAUCAGUGUAUAAACAUGUAAGUAUUACGUUUAUAGAGUUACAGUUUAUAGACUUAGCUGUAUAUUGUUGUUUACUGUAACUGUAUAUGGUCACAAACUGGUUUUCUGCCACCAAAGGAGUCAAGUUCUAAGUUGAUAUUAACAUUUCUGGCAUUCGGCAGAUGCCCUUAUCCAGAGUGACUAACAUUUGAUCUUAUUUUAUACAACUGAGCAAUUGAGGGUUAAGGGCCUUGCUAAAGGGCCCAGCAGUGGCAGCUUAGUGGACCUGGAAUCUAAACUCACAGUAGUAGUAUCAGUAGUCCAACACCUUAAACACUGAGCUACCACAUCUGUGAUGUUUUUCUUCUAUAUCAAGAUGAAAACCACAUCAUAAACACAUCUAGAUAUAGAUGAAAAUAUCAGAAAGCGAUAUUUUUGAAAUAUCAAAGUGUAAUUCUGAUCUAUAGUUUCAUGGUCGUCAUUUGAUCUCAAACCUAAAUCUCUUCAGUGGGUAGCAAAAAAAACCAAAAACAUCCAACCAAACAAACCAAACCAUAGAACUGACCUUGUAGUUCCCAGAAUAUCAAAGUCCACCAAAGGGGGCAGAGCGUUUUCGUAUUUAGCUCCAAAACUUUUGAAUAGUCUUCCUGACAGUGUUCGGGGCUCAGACACAGACUCCCAGUUUAAAUGUAGACUAAAGACUUAUCUCUUUAGCCUGGCAUACUUUUAAUACAUCCCAUAACCUUGUACUCCAGUACAUCGGAUUAAAUGCACAUUCAUCUAGUACUGCUAAUAUUAUGAACAGCAGCUACGCUAAUGCUGUUCCAUUGUUUCUCUUCUUCUACCCAUCCCGAGACAUACAGAGACUGUGCCGGCUCCAGUGGCAUCCGGAGAUGGACCAUCUCCAGCCGGGUUCUGCUUGUGAGGAUUGGGAUAUUCAAGCAGUGCCAUGGACAACAACCUCCUCAUUGAUCUACAUAACACUAUACACAUGCUGUAUCUGCAUCACACAGUUGUCACCCAAAUGAGGAUGGGUUCCCUUUUGAGUCUGGUUCCUCUCAAGGUUUCUUCCUCUUACCACCUAAGGGAGUUUUUCCUUGCCACAGUCGCCUCAGUCACCUCAGGCUUGCUCACUUGGGAUAACAUCUAGGACUGUCUGUCUGUUUGUCUGUUUAUAUGUUUGUUGUUUUCUUAUGUUGUUUCUCAUGUAAAGCUGCUUUGAGACAAUGCUCUUUGUUAAAAGCGCUAUACAAAUAAAUCUGAAUUGAAUUGAA